rnacentral:rRNA from 1 species
CGGCACGCUUAACACAUGCAAGUCGAACGGAGAAUUUUGGAUUUAUUCAGAAUUCUUAGUGGCGGACGGGUGAGUAACACGUGAGCAACCUGCCUUUGAGAGAGGGAUAGCUUCGGGAAACUGAUGGUAAUACCUCAUAAUGUAUAUUUGCCGCAUGACAGAUAUACCAAAGAUUUAUCACUCAAAGAUGGGCUCGCGUCUGAUUAGCUAGUUGGUGAGGUAACGGCCCACCAAGGCGACGAUCAGUAGCCGGACUGAGAGGUUGAACGGCCACAUUGGGACUGAGAAACGGUCCAGACUCCUACGGGAGGCAGCAGUGGGGAAUAUUGGGCAAUGGGCGAAAGCCUGACCCGGCAACGCCGCGUGAGGGAAGAAGAGUUUCGGCUCGUAAACCUCUGUCCUAUGGGACGGAGGAAGUGACGGUACCAUAGGAGGAAGCCCCGGCUAACUACGUGCCAGCAGCCGCGGUAAUACGUAGGGGGCGAGCGUUGUCCGGAAUGAUUGGGCGUAAAGGGCGCGUAGGCGGCCCGUUAAGUCUGGAGUGAAAGUCCUGCUUUCAAGGUGGGAAUUGCUUUGGAUACUGAUGGGCUCGAGUGCAGGAGAGGAAAGCGGAAUUACCGGUGUAGCGGUGAAAUGCGUAGAGAUCGGUAGGAACACCAGUGGCGAAGGCGGCUUUCUGGACUGAAACUGACGCUGAGGCGCGAAAGCGUGGGGAGCAAACAGGAUUAGAUACCCUGGUAGUCCACGCUGUAAACGAUGAAUACUAGGGGGGGGGGGGCUGCGCCCUUUCCGUGCCGCCAGUAACACAAUAAGUAUUCCCCCUGGGGGAGUACGACCGCAAGGUUUGAAAUUCAAAGGGAAUUGACGGGGGCCCGCCCAAGCAGUGGAUUAUGUGGUUAAUUCGACGCAACGCGAAGAACCUUACCAGGAUUUGACAUCCAACUAACGAAGUAGAGAUACAUUAGGUGCCCUUCGGGGAAAGUUGAGACAGGUGGUGCAUGGUUGUCGUCAGCUCGUGUCGUGAGAUGUUGGGUUAAGUCCCGCAACGAGCGCAACCCCUAUUGUUAGUUGCUACGCAAGAGCACUCUAGCGAGACUGCCGUUGACAAAACGGAGGAAGGCGGGGACGACGUCAAAUCAUCAUGCCCCUUAUGUCCUGGGCUACACACGUAACACAAUGGCCGUCAACAAAGGGAAGCAAAGCCGCGAGGUGGAGCAAAUCCCCAAAAACGGUCUCAGUUCGGAUUGCAGGCUGCAACUCGCCUGCAUGAAGCUGGAAUUGCUAGUAAUCGUGGAUCAGCAAGCCACGGUGAAUACGUUCCCGGGCCUUGCACUAAGCGCCCGUCA